UCUCUCCGAGGGAACAGGACCA
rnacentral:siRNA from 1 species